rnacentral:rRNA from 1 species
UACGUAGGGUGCGAGCGUUGUCCGGAAUUAUUGGGCGUAAAGAGCUCGUUGGCGGCUUGUCACGUCGGUUGUGAAAGCCCGGGGCUUAACCCCGGGUCUGCAGUCGAUACGGGCAGGCUAGAGUUCGGUAGGGGAGAUCGGAAUUCCUGGUGUAGCGGUGAAAUGCGCAGAUAUCAGGAGGAACACCGGUGGCGAAGGCGGAUCUCUGGGCCGAUACUGACGCUGAGGAGCGAAAGCGUGGGGAGCGAACAGG